AGACUGCGGACCCAGAGUGCCUUGAGGGCGGUAGCUUGCGCGUGUAGCGCUUUUGGGGAAGGAAUAGGCUGGAUGUAACUUACAUCAAGAAGAUCUUGGAAAUACUUUUUUUUCUCCCACGGCAAAAAGCCCAGGUAACCGUCUGUGUGAUGCUGCAGUUUUCUUCCAGCAUCUGGUAAGUUCUUCAGAAAAGAUCUCAGCAAAGCUGACUUGGACAGGUUGUACCCUUUCACAGUGAUGUCUCCACGUUCUA